GAUGUUUACAAAAAGGACUCAUCAGGCCACCGGCGGCGAUUAGUUGUCAUCAACCACCAGCAAGCGAGUGACUUACUGCUUUGAGUUUAUUUUCUCGUGCAAGCUUUAUCACACUUUCUAUCACAAUGCAGAAGGCAGAGCUGAGCAAGGAUCAAGUGAGGGUCCUGAAGGAAGCUUUCAUUGCCUUUGAUAUCGAAAAGAAGGGCAGCAUCUCGUUGGAGGUCGUCGGUGAGAUCCUCGAGCUUCUUGGCUACGCCCUCUCCGAAGAAGAGCUUCAGGAGGUCAUCGAAGAAUACGAUGUCGAUGAAUCUGGAUUGAUAGAGUUUGAGGAGUUCAUCGAGCUGGCUUCGAAUUAUGUUGAGCCGGAGGAAGAUUACGACGUGCUGCGUGCCGAACUACGUGAAGUGUUCAUGUUGUACGACAAAGACGGCAAAGGCUUCAUUCCUGUGGAUGCGUUCAAAGGAAUUUUGCGCGAACUGGACGGUGCGGUCCCGGAAACUGAGCUAGACGACAUCGUAGAUGAGAUUGAUGCCGAUGGAUCGGGAACGGUUGACUUCGAGGAGUUUAUGGAGGUUAUGACAGGUGAAUAGGACCGCUAACAUACUGCUUCGCACCUCAUGUAGGAUCGCUUGCAUCCGUGGACGGAUACGGAAAAGUGGCGCUUCUACAAACCUUGGAACGAUUGCUGGCGAAUCCCUUCUCCUUCGCAGAAAGACAAUCACAGAGUAUACAAAGCAUCGGUUGGCAAAUGGCACGGCAAUGAUACGGUGUAGCUUUGUCAUUUGAGCAUAAUCAUCCAUCAUGAUGAGGUGGUCCGCCUCAUGCCAGGACUCAUACACGCAUGGCCAAGGCCAAGAAUCACUAUAAUUUCCACCCCCCGGACUAAUGAACUGUUUCCGCAGGACCCCGUGACGAAUGAUGUGGAUGUCGAAGCGCUCCCAAAUCAUACCAACACACAUACACGCCACACAAACCACAAGAAGACAUCACCAGACACACAUACGCACACACAAACAUGUACAAUCUGCACACAUACAAACACACAAACACAAACAAGGCGCGUGCUUCGUCCUUUGUUAGAGCUCUCAUAGCCCAUAACAGAAGCAACAUAUUGUUUAAUGCGCAUCACCAUUCCGAAAUGUAAGGAGUACUUCAGCGAUUGAUAAGAUUGAGAAUAAAUGAAGAACGAAUGAGCUGGAAAUAAGAAUAAACAACAACACCAGGUCCUUUUUGGCUUCCGAA